rnacentral:lncRNA from 1 species
AUGUUAGAUUCAGAAAAAUCAACUGCAAUGUUGGGACCUUCAGGGCUGACCCAAGAUCACAGGUACACAACACAGGACUCUACCCCUGAAAAUAUCUGCAGCACCUUUUCAUCAGAUAAAGUCACUAACAGAGAGUUUCAGAAGUUUAAAGAGGUUGUUCCUGUACCAUGUGCAGCGGUCCCAGACUGGACUCAUCCAUCAGGAGGAAAUUCAUUAGCCUCAGAAUAUUUCACCUAUGCACCCCCCACCAGGAAGCUUAUUCCUACUGGCAAGCAUGGGUUCCAGAUAUUCCAACAGGUUGCUCCUGCCCCAUGUAGGAUGAACUGGAUUCAGGUAGGAGGAGAAACUUCAACAUCUGAAGAAGAUUCCAAAUAUAUCUUCUCAGAAAGCAAGCACAUUCCUACUGAUGAGCAUGCUAAAACACCCGAUUUCCAGAAGUGGAAAGGCGUUGCUAUUGAAAAAUACGAGCUAGAAGCAGCCAGGACUCAGGCAGCAGGACAAAAUUCAUCUGAUUCAAAAUAUUUCAGCUGUCUAUCCACUACCACUAAACUCCUUCCUACUGAGGAGCAUGGUAAGACUGGAUGCAAAAGUGAGGUUGAGCUCAGGCAGGAGAUAUACCUGAGGUGCUAGUCCAACUCUAGCUCACUUCUCUAUUCUUUUGAAUAUGGGGGAAAGGAUUCAGGGCAGAGGCACUGACAACUAAGACCUCUUGGGAGGAGCAAAUAGAGAUGGUAUUUCAAAA